GCUGAUGAUUCCUAGAACGAAUACCUCCAACACAAUCAUUUGGUAAUUAUCCAUAGGCUUGUAGUAAUAUGGAAGGGAAGAAUCAAUAAUUUUAUGUAGCCUAACAAUAAAAAUAAAAUUGUGGGGUAAUAGAGAGAUGAAUUCUGAUAAGGUCAAAAGCUAAAAUGAAUAAGGUAAUGGAAGGGAUAAGGAGAGUUCACAUGAAAGCAAAGAGAAGAAGACAAAGGACAAGAAAGACAGGUCAUAUUUGCUCUCUGUGUUUGAUUAAAGCGGACAAAACUGGUAUCAACCUUCCAAUACAAUCGAAUUCAGAGAACCAUACAAUCCAGGAGCAGGGCACUGGCCGAUUUGAAACUGUCAAUAGAAAUCACUUCUUGGAUUCU
rnacentral:misc_RNA from 1 species